AGCGAACGCUGGCGGCAGGCCUAACACAUGCAAGUCGAACGAACCUUUCGGGGUUAGUGGCGGACGGGUGAGUAACACGUGGGAACGUGCCUUUAGGUUCGGAAUAACUCAGGGAAACUUGUGCUAAUACCGAAUGUGCCCUUCGGGGGAAAGAUUUAUCGCCUUUAGAGCGGCCCGCGUCUGAUUAGCUAGUUGGUUGAGGUAAUGGCUCACCAAGGCGACGAUCAGUAGCUGGUCUGAGAGGAUGAUCAGCCACAUUGGGACUGAGACACGGCCCAAACUCCUACGGGAGGCAGCAGUGGGGAAUCUUGCGCAAUGGGCGAAAGCCUGACGCAGCCAUGCCGCGUGAAUGAUGAGGGUCUUAGGAUUGUAAAAUUCUUUCACCGGGGACGAUAAUGACGGUACCCGGAGAAGAAGCCCCGGCUAACUUCGUG
rnacentral:rRNA from 1 species